rnacentral:rRNA from 1 species
AGAGUUUGAUCAUGGCUCAGGAUGAACGCUAGCGGUGCGCCUAACACAUGCAAGUCGAGCGCCCCCACCCUGCUUUUGAUUCGCCACGGCGAAUCGAAGGUGGCGUGGGGGAGCGGCGAACGGGUGAGUAACACGUUGGAACCUGCCCCGAACUCAGGGAUAGCUCGCCGAAAGGCGAAUUAAUACCGGAUAAUCCCGCAAGGGUAAAGAUUUUUCGGUUCGGGAGGGGCCUGCGGCCUAUCAGCUAGUUGGUAAGGUAACGGCUUACCAAGGCUAUGACGGGUAACUGGUGUGAGAGCACGACCAGUCACAAUGGAACUGAGACACGGUCCAUACUCCUACGGGAGGCAGCAGUGAGGAAUCUUCCGCAAUGGGCGAAAGCCUGACGGAGCGACACCGCGUGAAGGAUGAAGGCCUUUUGGUUGUAAACUUCUUUUCUGGGGGAAUAAAUGAUGAAGGUACCCCAGGAAUAAGCACCGGCUAACUACGUGCCAGUAGCCGCGGUAAUACGUAGGGUGCAAGCGUUAUCCGGAAUUAUUGGGCGUAAAGAGUUCGUAGGUGGUUUGGAAAGUUUGCGGUUAAAUCCGGUCGCUCAACGAUCGAAUCGCUGCGAAAACUCCCAAACUCGAGAACGGCAGAGGCAACUGGAAUUCCACAUGUAGGGGUAAAAUCCGUUGAUAUGUGGAGGAACACCAAAAGCGAAGGCAGGUUGCUGGGCCGUUUCUGACACUGAGGAACGAAAGCGUGGGGAGCAAACAGGAUUAGAUACCCUAGUAGUCC